rnacentral:rRNA from 1 species
CCUACGGGCGGCAGCAGUGGGGAAUAUUGCACAAUGGGCGCAAGCCUGAUGCAGCCAUGCCGCGUGUAUGAAGAAGGCCUUCGGGUUGUAAAGUACUUUCAGCGGGGAGGAAGGUGUUGUGGUUAAUAACCACAGCAAUUGACGUUACCCGCAGAAGAAGCACCGGCUAACUCCGUGCCAGCAGCCGCGGUAAUACGGAGGGUGCAAGCGUUAAUCGGAAUUACUGGGCGUAAAGCGCACGCAGGCGGUCUGUCAAGUCGGAUGUGAAAUCCCCGGGCUCAACCUGGGAACUGCAUCCGAAACUGGCAGGCUAGAGUCUUGUAGAGGGGGGUAGAAUUCCAGGUGUAGCGGUGAAGUGCGUAGAGAUCUGGAGGAAUACCGGUGGCGAAGGCGGCCCCCUGGACGAAGACUGACGCUCAGGUGCGAAAGCGUGGGGAGCAAACAGGAUUAGAUACCCU